rnacentral:misc_RNA from 1 species
GUGCGAGCAAAGGGAACACUACGAGUCGACACAGCAUCACAUUGCCGUGACUCGCCCACCGCUGCUGACACCUCCCACACAUCCGUUCCCCCGACACCCUCACACAAACCUUUUUCUUUUUGUUUUGUUGCCGCUCUUCAGGCGGCUUUCCACACCCGUGUCCGUGUGACACAAGGCAGCACGGCUGCUACCGAAAGCGACGCGCUGGGCUAAGGAUCGCUGCGCACCGCGAGGAGGUGUCUGAGACGAAAUCUCGGUUUCCUGCUCACGUGCCCUUCGUUCAAGGCCUGUUCGCGGAACCGUCGAAGGCGACGUGCGCCUGCCCUUCACCCCCCUCACCCUCUCCCUCCCCCACUCAAUCAUAGGAACGCGCGCGAUGGAGAACUUUCUCCGCAAGGCGCGCGAGAGAAUUCAGCGCAAAUUGGAGGAAACAAAGACGGGAUCCAAGUACUUUGCGCAGACGCGCCGCGGCGAAGCUGCGGAGCUGCAAAAUGACCUCAACGGCACCGACAGCUAUCGCAAAAAGGCCGCGGUGAAGCGCAUCAUCGCCAACAUGACGAUGGGGCGCGACGUGAGCUACCUCUUUGUCGACGUCGUGAAGCUGGCUCCAUCGACCGAUCUGGAGCUCAAGAAGUUGGUCUAUUUGUACGUGCUCAGCACGGCGCGGCUGCAGCCGGAGAAGGCGUUGCUAGCCGUCAACACGUUCCUGCAGGAUACCACGAACAGCUCUCCCGUUGUGCGGGCGCUUGCGGUGCGGACGAUGAUGUGCAUCCGGGUGUCCUCGGUACUCGAAUACACGCUGGAGCCUCUGCGCCGUGCCGUGGCAGAUCCGGACCCGUACGUGCGCAAGACUGCCGCCAUGGGCCUCGGCAAGCUGUUUCACGAUGACAUGAACCUCUUUUACCAGCAGGACUUCAAGAAGGACCUCGUGGAGCUGCUUAACGACAACAACCCAAUCGUCGCAUCCAACGCCGCAGCAAUCGUGUGCGAGGUGAACGACUACGGAAGCGAGAAGAUUGAGAGUAGCAACGAAUGGGUGAAUCGACUCGUCUACCACCUGCCAGAGUGCAAUGAAUGGGGGCAACAGUACAUCCUUGACCUACUGGCGGCCCAGCGUCCUAGCGACAAGGAGAGCGCCGAGACUCUGCUGACGCGCGUUCUGCCCCGCAUGAAUCACCAGAACCCGGCUGUGGUGAUGGGGGCGAUCAAGGUAGUUGCCAACCUGGCGAGCCGGUGCUCGCAGGAGCUGAUUGAGCGCUGCACUGUGCGCGUCAACACCGCCCUCCUAACGCUGGCGAAGCGCGAUGCUGAAACACAGUACAUUGUCUGCAAGAACAUUCACGCACUGCUGGUCAUCUUUCCGAAUUUGCUGCGCACCAACCUCGACGCCUUCUACGUACGUUACAGCGACCCGCCGUUCGUUAAGCUGGAGAAGCUGCGCCUCCUGUUGAAGCUUGCCACGCCGUCCGUGGCGCCAGAGAUUGCCAAGGAAUUGGCCGAGUACGCCUCGGGGGUGGACAUGGUGUUUGUGGUCGAGGUGGUGCGUGCCAUCGCUUCGCUCGCCAUCAAGGUAGAUUCCAUGGCGCCUGACUGCGCGAACCUUCUCAUGCAGCUAGUGGAUCGGCGGCCAGAGCUGCUGCCUCACGUGGUGACAGCCGCAAAGGAUAUUGUGCGCAAGUACCCAGAGCUACUCAUGCUGGAUGCGCUGGUGACCGACUACGGCGCUGACGAGGUCGUAGAGGAGGAGGCGAAGGUGUCGUUGCUGUGGAUGCUGGGUGAGUACUGCGACUUCAUCGAAAACGGCAAGGACAUUAUUCAGCGCUUUAUCGACACCAUCAUGGAGCACGAGCAGCGCGUGCAGCUCGCGAUCCUGAGCGCGGCGGUGAAGAUGUUUCUACGAGACCCGCAGACGAUGGAGCCGCAGCUGAAUCGCGUGCUGGAAACCGUGACGACGCACAGUGACGACGCCGAUGUGCGUGACCGCGCCUUUGCGUACUGGCGUCUGCUCUCUAAGGGCAUCACUGUGGAGCAGAUGGAAAAGGUGGUUCAUGGGCAAAUGGUGCCUGUGAACGUCGACCACACCUUCAGCGAUGCCAUGACCAUGGCGGACCUAAAGAAGUCCCUCAACACUGCCGCCAUCGUGUUCGCCCGCCCGUACCAGUCGUUUCUCCCUCCCUACGGGCUGGCCGACGUGGAACUGGACGAGGAGGACACAGAGGACGACGAUGCGGUGAAGCUGCCAGCGACACCGUCGAUGGGCACCCAGGAUGGGGCAUCGGCGCCUGAUGCUGCACGGGCAAGGUACGAUAUAUUUGAGUUCUUGGGCGAUGGGACCGGGGCGCGUCACCCGGUGGCGAGCGGCAGCAACGGCGCUCAGCAUGCAGAUCCUUUUGGCGACCUGUUCAGCGCCUCGCCUUCCACCGUCGGGGCCUCCUCGCCAGCCUUUCAGGCCGCGUCAGGGUCACAGGCGCCAGCAUCACCGCCAACCGCAGCGAGUGCCAUGGAGGACUUGUUCGGAAACGGUAUGGGAAGCGGAAGUCAAACAGUGCCAGCGCCAAUCUCUGCCGCACCGCAGUCCGCCGGUAGAGACACGCAGCUGAAUGAUCUCUUUUCCUAAGCGGAACACGUGCAAAAGUGUGUUGCAAAGGGAAGUCGUCCGCUAUGUACGCAGAGUGGAGGGCCGUGUGUGCCGGGUUGAGUGAAUAUGCUAUAUGCUGAGUGUACUGUGUGCUUAGGCGCGUUUCGCGCCUUCGAGCCCUUCUCAUUCUCCAAUCCUUAGCACUCCCUCUGUCGUCCUCGGCCUGCCCGAGAUCCAACAGAUACUGCUUUUCACCCAACCUCCCCUCCGACACGCUGCCUUUCUCAGCCCCCCUACCCCUUCCCUUCCUCUCCUAUUAGGAUGCAGAUGAUGCGUUGGCUGUGGCCGCUGUCGUUUUGUUCUUCGCUUUCCUCUUUUAUCUUUUUGUUUCUCGUUGUGUACUCAAGGGCUCCGUGUGUUUAUCGGUUGUGCUUCUUCUUGUCCGUUUGACGGUUGUAGCAUGCCCUGAUGACGGGCACACCUCGGUGCGCAGCAUCUCAGGGUCCAGCGCCUCAUCUGUGGGCCAGCCCUGCAGACCCCUCCCCCUCCCCCCGUAUGUCCCCGCGAACGCACAGCUGCAUGUGGUGGUGACAGGCUCAAAAGUACCCCCACGGCGUGGGGGUGGAGGUGAGAGCGAUUCAGCGGUGCUGAUAUGCCAGCGUUGAUGCCGUGGAUGGCGCUGCGUCGCAGCGAGCUGCGGCCGUGGGCACGCUUGUGCCAUGCCUAGGAUAGAAGGCAAGCGUGCCCGCGUGGCUCGCACGUACCUCCUUGGGCCGCCUCACUGGCCGCUGGUGUGAUGGGAGCCUGAGCUACCCCCCAGACAGAGUGAGAGAGAGAGAGAGGUGCGCCAGGUGGCGACCAGCACAGCGGGAGCGACCCGUGAGGCGACCUGGGGGGUGGGUGGGCGGGCUUGGGGCUGAGGCAGAGACCGUGCUCGGGUGGCCGCGUCGGCGCAGGGUGCUGUGUGGGGCGCCCGCCUGUCUAGCGCUGCUCGGCACCACGCGAUGGGCCUGUGGCAGGACGGCUGUAGCGUGGAGUGGAACUCGUGUUCUAUUGCGGAACAAAAAAAGCGGUGAGAAAAAAGGGCUUUGGCAUGCACAUGUGUAUCCAGCGUGGUGGCGGACGGCUACACGGCCACUCUUAGCUUCUUUCUGCGGAGGGGUGCGUCGGGCUGGUGAGGGAGUGGGAGGUGGUCUGCGCUCUGUUGCUUCGUAAGCAGAAG